rnacentral:ribozyme from 2 species
CGUUUAAUGUAGCCAUAUCUUUAAAGGUAUGAGAGUCUAAAGCCUCUAUAAAUACAGAUAGGACG